AAAUUGCAUCAAGAGUGGCACAAUUUGCCCACCAACCGGCCAACUGUCGUAGGCAUCGGUGGUAAAAUGAUGUGAGUGAGAUUGUUUAACCCACUAAAAAUUUACGAUGAU
rfam:Prevotella ruminicola 23, complete genome.